AAGGCAUUUGAUUUGCAUCCUGCUAGUAAAGUCCCGUAUCUUUUUCUGUAUCCAAAUGAUUCAGAACCAAGGAAGCUUACAAAAAGCUUCCCAGGGAGUAGACUACACUCACUCACACUGCUUCUCCCCUCCCCCACUGCUUGGCCCCUUCUGUCCUUUGUACAUCUAGGUCAGAGGACCCCAUGACAUUAAAUGAACUCAUCCAUCAACACAUGAUUUCAGAAGCUUUAAAACAUCUGUAAAUCAAGGAAAAUAAGUCUUAUGUACCAAGGGAAGUCCUGCUGAGGAGGGCUGCCUGCUGACCUGGACCCUGAACCGUGUUGCACAUGCUGGCUUUUCCUCCUGGGCAAGCAGAACAUUGAUGGAAAUAAAACA